GGAUGGUAGGCUGCCAAGAACUGUUUCUUCGGUUGUUUCAGACACAUGGGGCCCAGAAACACAGUCCCCUUUGGCCAUCAGAGGCAGGUGCUCAAGGGAUGUCCCCUGUAUGGGCUUUAAGUAUGAGCUGGUUUUGGUAGGACCAUGGUGGAGCAAUGCAAGGGGGCAGGGUGCUUCCUUGGCCAGCUUGGCAGAGUUGUGGUAGAGCUGGGGGUGUGUGUGUGUGUGUGUGUUGGCGGGGGAGAUGGUGGAAAAGCGAUUGAUUUUUAACUAAAAUCAAGGCAUCAAGAAAUUUCUGAUACUGCUCGCAUUUGGAUAAAUUGGCGAGACAUACCUCAUUCUUUUGGGAAAACAGUUUUUUUAUCUGUAACUGGGGACAAGAAUGCUGACCUACCUUCCGAAUGUGUUGUAUGCAUUAAUUAACUGCGUAUGAUUGAGUAGCAUCCUCAGGAUCUCAAGAUGAGCAUGUAAAUGCCAAGUGUUCUUACUGAUAAUAAAGCAGAUACUUUCUUGA